rnacentral:rRNA from 1 species
CCUACGGGUGGCAGCAGUGGGGAAUAUUGCACAAUGGGGGAAACCCUGAUGCAGCGACGCCGCGUGAGUGAAGAAGUAUUUCGGUAUGUAAAGCUCUAUCUGCAGGGAAGAAAAUGACGGUACCUGACUAAGAAGCCCCGGCUAACUAAGUGACAGCAGCCGCGGUAAUACGUAGGGGGCAAGCGUUAUCCGGAUUUACUGGGUGUAAAGGGAGCGUAGACGGUGAUGCAAGUCAGAAGUGAAAGCACGGGGCUCAACUCCGGGACUGCUUUUGAAACUGUGUGACUGGAGUGGAGGAGAGGUAAGCGGAAUGCCUGGUGUAGCGGUGAAAUGCGUAGAUAUCAGGAAGAACACCAGUGGCGAAGGCGGCUUACUGGACUGUAACUGACGUUGAGGCUCGAAAGCGUGGGGAGCAAACAGGAUUAGAUACCCUAGUAGUC